rnacentral:rRNA from 2 species
UACGUAGGAUGCAAGCGUUGUCCGGAAUUAUUGGGCGUAAAGAGCGCGCAGGCGGUCUAUCAAGUCAGAUGUGAAAUAUCCCGGCUUAACCGGGAGGGGUCAUUUGAAACUGGUAGACUAGAGUACAGCAGAGGAUAGUGGAAUUCCCGGUGUAGUGGUGAAAUGCGUAGAUAUCGGGAGGAACACCAGUGGCGAAGGCGACUAUCUGGGCUGAAACUGACGCUGAGGCGCGAAGGCUAGGGGAGCAAACAGG